rnacentral:rRNA from 1 species
UGCAGUCGAACGAUGAUGCCCAGCUUGCUGGGCGGAUUAGUGGCGAACGUGUGAGUAAUACGUGAGUAACCUGCCCUUGACUCUGGGAUAAGCCUGGGAAACUGGGUCUAAUACUGGAUACUACUUCCUGCCGCAUGGUGGGUGGUGGAAGGGGUUUUACUGGUUUUGGAUGGGCUCACGGCCUAUCAGCUUGUUGGUGGGGUAAUGGCUCACCAAGGCGACGACGGGUAGCCGGCCUGAGAGGGUGACCGGCCACACUGGGACUGAGACACGGCCCAGACUCCUACGGGAGGCAGCAGUGGGGAAUAUUGCACAAUGGGCGGAAGCCUGAUGCAGCGACGCCGCGUGAGGGAUGACGGCCUUCGGGUUGUAAACCUCUUUCAGUAGGGAAGAAGCGAAAGUGACGGUACCUGCAGAAGAAGCGCCGGCUAACUACGUGCCAGCAGCCGCGGUAAUACGUAGGGCGCAAG